rnacentral:rRNA from 1 species
GACGAACGCUGGCGGCGCGCUUAACACAUGCAAGUCGAGCGAUGAAACUUUAACAGACCCCUUCGGGGCGAAGAUAAAGUGGAUUAGCGGCGACGGGGGAAUUAACCCGUGAUAACCCUGCCUUAGACAUGGGAAUGGCCCCGGAAACCGGGGUUUAAUACAAAAAAAAUUCAUAUUACACAAUGUCAUACCGAUCAAAACUCCGGUGGUCUAAGAUGGACUCGCGUCCCAUUAGCUAGUUGGUAGAGUAAAAGCCUACCAAGGCGACGAUGGGUAGCCGGCCUGAGAGGGUGAACGGCCACAUUGGAACUGAGAAACGGUCCAAACUCCUACGGGAGGCAGCAGUGGGGAAUAUUGCACAAUGGAGGGAACUCUGAUGCAGCGACGCCGCGUGAACGAAGAAGGCUUUCGAGUCGUAAAGUUCUUUUAUAUGGGAAGAUAAUGACGGUACCAUAAGAAAAAGCCCCGGCUAACUACGUG